AUUGAACGCUGGCGGCAUGCUUAACACAUGUAAGUCGAACGGCAGCAUGUUGUGUAGCAAUGCACAAUGAUGGCGAGUGGCGGACGGGUGAGUAACGCGUAGGAAUAUGCCUUAAAGAGGGGGACAACCCGAGGAAACUCGGGCUAAUACCGCAUAAAAUCGAGAGAUCAAAGUUGGGGCAACCUGACACUUUAAGAGUAGCCUGCGUCUGAUUAGCUAGUUGGUUAGGUAAAAGCUGACCAAGGCGAUGAUCAGUAGCUGGUCUGAGAGGAUGAUCAGACACACUGGGACUGAGACACGGCCCAGACUCCUACGGGAGGCAGCAGUGGGGAAUAUUGGACAAUGGGGGCAACCCUGAUCCAGCAAUGCCGCGUGUGUGAAGAAGGCCUUCGGGUUGUAAAGCACUUUAGUUGGGGAAGAAGGUUAUUUGUUUAAGAGAUGAGUAAUUUGACGGUACCCAAAGAAUAAGCACCGGCUAACUCUGUGCCAGCCGCCGCCGUAA
rnacentral:rRNA from 1 species